rnacentral:misc_RNA from 1 species
GUUUUGGUCGACCUAAAAGCUUAUUUAGGUGUGACAAUCUAAGGUUUUACAUCGGUUGAUAUCAAAGCCAAAUUUUGCCAUUGCCAUCAUCCACCAUCAGCGAGCUACCAUCUUGAAAGUUUGAGCACCACUUCAAUCUUGGCUCAUGCUUCUCAAGUUAAACAAACAAAAAAUUAAAAAGCAUUGGCAUAAAUCUCUCAACCCUGCAAAUAAUAUCAUUUUUUUUAAAUAAUAAUGGUCUUCGAAGAAAGUCCUUGGAUGAGAAUUUCUUUUCUUUUUAUUUUAUUGCUGUCU